AAUCACUUGUCUUUUAAAUGAAGACCUGUAUGAAAGGUAUGACGAGGGCUUAACUGUCUCCUUUUCUAAGUCAAUGAAAUUGAUCUCCCCGUGCAGAAGCGGGGAUGCGAACAUAAGACGAGAAGACCCUGUGGAGCUUGAGACGCCAGGACGGAUCCUGUUAAGAAUGCCUAGAAGCUAAAAACUAAAGGAUCCCCGCCCUAGUGUCUUCGGUUGGGGCGACCAUGGGGAAAACAAAUCCCCCACGUGGACUAAGAGCACUCUUACAAACCCGAGUAACAACUCUAAUGAACAGAAAAUYUGACCAAAAAUGAUCCGGCAAUGCCGAUCAACGAACCAAGUUACCCCAGGGAUAACAGCGCAAUCCCCUUUUAGAGCCCCUAUCGACAAGGGGGUUUACGACCUCGAUGUUGGAUCAGGACAUCCUAA
rnacentral:rRNA from 1 species